UAUGUAUACUAUAGACUACCUGCCUGUUAGUCAUUAUUAUUUUCUGCUGUUGACUUUUAACCAUUGAUACCACCAUGGUUCUGUGAUCCAGGAUCACCUGAAGCAGUUGAUCCUCCUGACAGUAGUAGCCUAACACUAUGUCCCAAUGCCUGUAUCAUUCACCUCACUUCAUCCCAUCAGCAUAGGCCUUUUAUCACAUCAUCACAAAAAGACGGUGUCUUGAACAGUACCUGCCACUCAAUAGGAUGUCUGAUCUGAAAGUGACCUUGGCUUGAGAAAAGUCUAUCAGGUGUGACACAAGGCUCAAGGAAAGUAUGAGAAAAGGUGACUAAUCUCCAUCUUCCUGGAUAUCCAGAAACAGUUGUAGCGGUGGCUCCAGCAUAGCUACAAGGGCAGGCUCUGAGGUGGUAGCUGCGCCAAAAAACAUUUCUGUGUCACAAGAGCAUCAUUUGAGAAGACCUGCCACAUCAUCCCUACCAAUAGGGCUCUUUUCAUUUAUUGAAGCUCAUAUACCAUUGCUUCAGGGUGAGAACUGGUAUAACUGAGAGCAAAGAAGACAUUGCUAAGUUGAACAUUUUAACUGGUUUUACAAAAAUUGUUCAAAGAACAUUGCAGAAACAAUAGUCUGGUAAGCAAGGCUUUCACUUGCAGGGACGGUACAAGAGAAAAAGGAUAUGCAUGACUUAGAUAGCCCAAACUUGACAUACAGACUCUUUACUAUAAGCCAGUACUUCUCAAAGUAUACUCUGUGAACCUCUCGGUACUGGCAUCAAAUGCCCUAGUAGUCAUUGUGUUCUUCAUUACCAAGGAGUUACAGGUUUUUUUUUUUUUUUUUAACAGCUUAAGAAUGUCGCUGCUGAAGCAGUAAAAAAUUAAUUGUAUUAAAUUUUGAUCCUUGAGUUAAUAUAUUUUUCAAUAUUCCGUGUGAUGAAUUGGGAAAUAUAGAGAGAGUACUUCUGCUGUGUACAAAAGUUCCAUAGUUGAACAACUGUAUGGCAAUCAAUUAGAGAACUUAGAUGAAAUGAAAAAAAUCUAGAAAGACACAAAAUACAUGAACUGGUUCAAGAAGCACCAAAAAAUCUGAAUAGAUUUAUAACAUGUGAAGAGAUGAAAUUUGUAAUAUCAACAUUCCCAUGAAGAAAAGCCCAGGACCAGGUGACUUCACUGGUAAAUGCUAUCAAAUAUUUACAUAGUUAACAACAAUUAUUCACAAACUCCUCCAAUAAAUAAAAGAUGAGAGACCACUUCCCAAUGCAUUCUAUGAGGCUAAUAUUAUCCUGAUACCAAAUCUAGGCAAAGACAUUACAAGAAAAUAAAACUACGGAUCAAUGUCUUUUAUGAAUAUAGAAACAGAGUUCCUCAACAAAACACUAGCAAAUCAAAUCCAGCAGUAUAUUAAAAGGAUUAUACUCCAUAACCAAGUAUGAUUUAUUCCAAGAAUACAAGCUGUUUUAACAUUUGAAAAUCAAUUAAUGUAACACACUUCAUCAAUAGAAUAAAGAACAAAAACCAUGUGAUCACUCCAAUAUAAGCAGAAAAAGCAUUUGACAACAUUCUAUACUUCUUCACAGUAAACACAGUGAAUAAACAAGAAAUAGAAAUUUAUGCAAACUACUAAAGGGCAUCUAUAAAAUACCCACAACUAACAUUGUAUUAAUGGUGUAAGACUGAAUGCUUUUCCUCUAUUAUGUGAAACAAGACAAAGCUGUUCUGGCCACUUCUACUCAACAUUAUACUGUUAGCUUUAGUAAGGGCAAUUAGGAAAGUAAACAAAAUAAAAGGUAUCCAUAUUGGAAAGGAAAAAUUAAAACUAUCUUUAUUUGCAGAUGAUGUAAUUUUGUAUAUAGAAAAUAGUAAGUAAUCCACUAAAAAGCUAUUAGAACAAAUAAAUGAGUCCAGCCCAUUCCUGGACACAUGAGCAAUAUACAAAUAUAAUUAUAUUUCUAUGCACUUGCAAUAAAUGAUCUGAAAAUUAAAUUAGGAAAGAAAUCACAUUAACAAUGGCAUCAAAAAGAAAUGCAAUACUGUGGAAUAAAUUUGGUGAAAGAAGUGCAAGAGUUGUACACUGAACACUAAAAAACACUUUGCUUUAAUUAAAGAAGGCCUGGAUAAAUAAAAAAGAUAUCCCAUACUUGUGGGUUGAAAGACUUAA